CGUGCCAAUCAGGUAGCUGACGCAGCGACGCCGCGUGGGGGAGAAGGCCUUCGGGUUGUAAACCCCUGUCACCGGGGACGAAGUCCUCUGUAGGGAGGGUGACGGUACCCGGGGAGGAAGCCCCGGCUAACUACGUGCCUACAGCCGGGGUAAUACCG
rnacentral:rRNA from 1 species